rnacentral:rRNA from 1 species
AAAGAUCUAAAUAGAUAUUAAAUUUUUUGUUUCAAAAAAAUUUUAUAUGUCUAUUUAGUUGUGAAAUUCUAAUCGCUUUUAUUAAUAUCUAGUAACUUUAGAAAUAAAUUUAGUUUAGAAUAAUUAGGAAAAUUUUAUUUAUAAUUUUUUCUAAAAUUAUUUUUAAAUUUUUGGGGAUGAGCUCAGAAAUUAUAAUAUAAGGAUAAAUUUUCAUAUUUUUUUUAUAGGCUUAGAAUUAGCCAAUAGAAAGUGUUAUAAAAUAUAACUAUAAGUUUUUGAUUUUUUUUUCUUUUUUUUCUAUAAAGUUAAUUAAAAAAUUUUUUAUACUUUGAAAAUAUGAUAACAUUAGUAGAUAAAUUUAUAAAGAAUAUUUUUUAAAUUUUUCUUAAAAAUUUUUAUUAAUUAUUGUAACAAAAGAACUCGGCAAAAAAAAUUUCCGAAUGUUUAACAAAAACAUUUCCUCUUAGAAUGGGAGGUAAGGCCUGCUCACUGAGGUUUUAAAGAGCCGCAGUAUCCUAACUGUGCUAAGGUAGCAUAAUCAUUAGUCUUUUAAUUGGAGACUGGUAUGAAUGGCUUAACGAGAAAUUAACUUUUUUUGUUAUAAAUAUUGAAUUUAAUUUUUUAGUGAAAAAGCUAAAAUUUUUCAGAAAGACGAGAAGACCCUAUAGAGUUUUAUGUUUUUGUAUAUUAUAUUUUAUUAGAUUUGCAAUAAUUAGGUAUUAUAAAACAUUUUGUUGGGGCGACAUUUAGAUAUAAAAAACUCUUUAUUUUAAAAAUUUUUAUGAAAAGAUAAUUGAUCCUUUAAAAAAGAUCAAAAGAAAAAAUUACCUUAGGGAUAACAGCGUAAUCUUUUUUGAGAGUUCUAAUCGACAAAAAGGUUUGCGACCU